GCUGCUCUUUCCCCAUCCCCAUCUCCUGUUUCCGCCCCCAACAAAACGUGCUCCUCCUCGCCUCCUUCCUCCUCCCCCCCCUCCUCAUCCGCCCGCCAAGCCAAGCCAAGCGAAAACCAGAGAUGCAGCGAUAGAUGCUGUAAAGAGGAAGAGGUACGAUCGCAUUUACUUCCAACCAACCAAGAUCCCGUUUGUUUUACUUUUCGGCUGAUCGACUGUAGUCACGAGGCCUCCCGAUCAACCAGUUUGGCCGUUUCGUGGCUCGCAAACUCUGAUCCGUGUCUGUUGCCGCUCCAUUUCUUUUGGCUGCUCUGCUGCUAGCUCCAUGGGCGCAUGUUCUUGCCACUCUAGAGUCCAUGCGUGCUCACUUUUGUUUCUUCGUCGUGUAGCUUGCGCGCAGGUGGCUACAUAGACUCCGCUACCACGAGCCUUGGUGAGGAGCGAGGGGUUGCUUGAUUGCUUCGUAGGGGCUCUGUGCCGUGCCCGUGCGUGUGCGGUGGAGAUGAUGGGAGGAGGGGUGGCGAUGAUGGAUCNNNNN
rnacentral:lncRNA from 1 species